GUCCGGCCAAUCCUGAGUUG
rnacentral:misc_RNA from 1 species